GGAAAAUGAAUAGAAAAUUCUGGUUUCUCCUCCCUCAUACCCGAACCCCUCUCUCUCUCAACCCUCUUUAAAUUUCAAACUUGAUUUUGUGAAGAUUUGCUUGGUUUGAAGCUUAGUAUUUGAGGAUUGAUUGAGCUUGGCUUUAAAUUGAGUUUGAGAAUUACCGACACCUGGUCAGGAGCACCCGGAGAUUCGGAAUCUCUGCCUUUGCGGGACAACAGGAAAGGGUAAGUCAGUGGCUGAUCAACCAUGAGUUUGAGGAGCAAGAUGAAGAAUGUACAUGUUCAAGCCAUAUCAGACCAAGCGGGUUAAGGGUCUAUCAGUGAUGAACUUUUGAGUUCUAUUUUGCCGUUUAGGUCGGCUAGAAAUAAAUGACUUGUAAUAGCGUUUGUAAAUAUUUUUGGGAUCCCAACUAUUUUAAAAGUUUUAAAUAUAUUACAAGUUUAUUUUCCUUC